UAUUUCUCCGUCCAUUAUUUCAAGUUAUAAUAAGCGGGCAUGAUUGGAGUUACUCCCAAGAUAAGCAGGCCAUAAUAUUUUCACUGUCACCAUGAUCACAGACUAAGAUAAGAGGAAAAAGUGCUAUUUUUACUCCCUAUUUUUUACUCCUGGUGUUAAAUACGAGGAGAACAAGUAAAAAACAAACUGCCUCACAGCCCCUACAGCAGAAUACACAAUCUUCAACCUCUUUCUUUUUUUCCGGCUGGCCGUGAUGCUCCUCGAGGACGACAUAGAUACUAUUGAGGUGAUCCGCGCGGAGGAGAUGCCUCUUAAUUGUGUUUGCAGCUCGGAGCAGGAAGCAUGCCCAUUUGAGACUCCAGUCGUGUGAAAGUGGAAAGCAACAAGGAAACAUCGUGUCUGCCAAUAAUGGAAAUUGCUCGAGAUUCCCGAGGAAUUGGUGAACGGGAGGGGCUUGCAGAGGUAGCUUUGGGAGUUUAUGUCUUGGCUUGAGAUUUUGGACACAGAUGUGUAACUCCUAACUCAUCAGCCCCAAAGAGGGAUGAGAGGAAAGUUGGGCUUUAGUGGCAAAAGGCUCAGCUAAGAGCUUGAAGACCAGCACAUUCAACACCUGAAUUUAGGAAUAUCCUCAAACCACACCACCCCCCCAAAAACAGGAAUUCAUAUGCUAUCUGAAGCCGGUUCUAGCCCUCUAAUGCACUGUUUCUCCUGGGCCUCCCUUCUCCACUUUGGAUUUCCUUUGGUUAUCUGGUUUUCUGUA